rnacentral:rRNA from 1 species
CAACUUUCUACAACGGAUCUCUUGGCUCUCGCAUCGAUGAAGAACACAGCGAAAUGCUAUAAGUAAUGUGAAUUGCUGAAUCCACUGAAUCAUCAAAUCUUUGAACGCACCUUGCGCCCCUUGGUAUUCCGAGGAGCAUGCCUGUUGGAGUGUCGUUA